UUUCCACAUGCAAACACAGGCAGUCAGCUCAUCACGGAACAGCAAAACCAGCAGAUUCUUAAACGUUAAAACUUAGGGGCAAGUUCUCUUUGAUAACCACAAAUCUUCGUGCUGCUGAUUCAGACAUAGGGGAAGUUGCCUGCCUGAUUUUUCCAGCUGAGAUUCCUCCAGUGCAAAUGAAGGACAUUAUAAACCAGUAACACCCAAGAGGUUAAUCCCUGUCUGCCACAAGAUCUUUCUGCAAUCAGUUUCCAGCCUCUGCAACAGACAUGAAGGCACCAACCUCAUCUUUACAAAUGUCACGAGCACCUGACCUUGUGAGGCAAUUCACAAACAAACCUGGCCAAACAAUGAAACCUGGCAGUGUGAAUUGGGCAGAAUCAUCCUAUGUGAAAAGCUCUGGAAAAAAGUGUUUUCCAUAUGAGAGGAACAGCUCUAAAGAUCUUGGCCUUUGUGCUCCUGAGUUUAAGGGACAUGAGGAUGUAUAGCUAUAACCAGCAUGUGUGUGAUACUGAGUCUAUUCCUGGUAGCCACAGCUCUGCUAUUUAUAGUUACUGCCGUGGU